UUUUCAACUGAACAUAACAUGCAGAGGUCCGAGGCCCAACUGAAAGAGCCCAAACGCUAGCCUCAUUCACCCUACGGGAUCACACCAGAUCGUCAACCGCCCUCAUCCCCUCUCUCCUCACGCCAAUCCAAACCCUAGCCAUCGCCGCCAUCGCCGAGUACCAGGCCUCCGGGGAACGCCUCAUCGGCCUGCAUGUCGAUCCACACCGCCCUGCUCCGUGCGUCACCCUCCCCACGGAGGCGAAGGCGCCCUGCGCCGGAGAUCGCGGGAUGGUUCCACGCGGCUCCUAGGCUACCAGCUGGCCAUACGGAUCUUGCCAAGAUCGCUUCCUCACUCCUCUUCCCUGAAGGCGACAACGACUGUGGAGGAGGCAGCGGGGGUCAGCGAAGAGGUGGUCGCGUUCACGCGGGGCGCAGCCUCGCGGCCCGAGUUAUGUCUCAUCUUCCCCCCUCCCCGACGACGCGGACUCCCAUGGUUUGUGGCUUCGUGAUUCAUCAUAUUGGAACCCCUCGCCGCCUUCCCAGCCAGCGCCAGCACCCCCACCCAGCGACCCCGCCGUCGCCGGUGACCAGCCCCAACCCCAUCACAAGGCCGGCGACAAGGAAGCGGAUGUUGCCACCGCCGAAACUGAUGGGUACAAGGCGGGGUCGUCCUCAUCGCACCUGUCUCGACUGCUCCGGGAGGUAGGCAUCGACGACUCCUGGCUGCUUGUGCUGCUGUUACUUGCAGGCAGGCUCUGAAUGUUGCCAAUAGGCUCUGAAUGCUGCUGCUACAUAGCCAAGCUUGUCAGCAUUGCGACCCUUGGUGGAUGAAUAGGGUCUGCAAUAGGUGAAUGUUCUUGUUUUUCAUCUUCAGAUGAUGCAUGUUCCAUUGGACGUAUCAGUAUAGUUGCAACCAAGGAUUUGUUCAUUUUCUUUUCCCCUUUUGACCGCGUCAGGGAAAUUGGAAUUAAGGGCUUCAGACAUUUUUUAAGUGCAUUGUACUUUUUUUCAUGGCCUACUCUUUGUGAAUUAUCAUGUCAAUCAUGGGCAUUGGUAAUAUCUUGCCCGUUAGGUGGCGUUAACACAUUGUGUUGAUGAACCUAAAGACGUACGGAGUGCUCGAAAGGGUGUUGUAAACAUGUUCUGAGAUGUGGCUAUGAUAAUCUAAAGUUAUCUCCUAUAUUGCAGUUAUCCAGAACCGCGUCGCCCCUCCAUUCAUCCUUGACAACGCUGCCUGUGUUGCUUUACGUGUUCAGGGCUUCAGCAAUCCAGGUGCCACCAGUGUGGGCGCGACCCAUCAUGAGUCGAUGCUAGCGAGCCAGCCAUAGCGCGACAUCUGAUGCUUCUGCUUCCUUACAUGAACAUGCAUCAAUAAAUAUGGACCUCGGUGGUUUUCUCCACAUUAGGAAAGCUGGAAGAGCCUUUUGAACUCAGUUUUUUUGCUAACAGUGGUGUUAUGGUGAAACAGAGUUUUGUGUGUAUGUACCAACAGCUAAAAUGUAAACACGACAUUAUCAUAGUUGAGUAUAGGAAUAAUUAUCUCUUAUAUCUUAUUGCAAAAUCUGACUGUAGAUGGUUAGCUUGCAUUUUACGCUACAAUUACCUCAGAUCACUUGUUGUAUCUUACACCAAUUUACAAAUUUUUUUGAUGCAUUUUAUGACAACCUCAUGCGCUGAGAGAUA